rnacentral:rRNA from 1 species
AGAGUUUGAUUCUGGCUCAGGAUGAACGCUAGCUACAGGCUUAACACAUGCAAGUCGAGGGGUAGCAGGGUAGCAAUACCGCUGACGACCGGCGCACGGGUGAGUAACACGUAUCCAACCUUCCCAUAACUCAGGGAUAGCCUCUCGAAAGAAAGAUUAAUACCUGAUAGUUACUUUUUCAAGGCAUCUUGAGAAAGUUAAAGAUUUAUUGGUUAUGGAUGGGGAUGCGUUCCAUUAGAUAGUUGGUGAGGUAACGGCUCACCAAGUCUUCGAUGGAUAGGGGUUCUGAGAGGAACGGUCCCCCACAUUGGUACUGAGACACGGACCAAACUCCUACGGGAGGCAGCAGUGAGGAAUAUUGGUCAAGUGGGCGAGAGCCUGAACCAGCCAAGUAGCGUGAAGGAUGAAACGGUCCUAUGGAUUGUAAACUUCUUUUAUAGUAGAAUAAAGUGAUCCACGUGUGGAUUUUUGUAUGUAUACUAUGAAUAAGGAUCGGCUAACUCCGUGCCAGCAGCAGC